rnacentral:rRNA from 1 species
UACGGGGGGGGCAAGCGUUGUUCGGAAUUACUGGGCGUAAAGGGCUCGUAGGCGGCCAACUAAGUCAGACGUGAAAUCCCUCGGCUUAACCGGGGAACUGCGUCUGAUACUGGAUGGCUUGAGUUUGGGAGAGGGAGUGCGGAAUUCCAGGUGUAGCGGUGAAAUGCGUAGAUAUCUGGAGGAACACCGGUGGCGAAGGCGGCAUCCUGGACCAACACUGACGCUGAGGAGCGAAAGCCAGGGGAAGCAAACGGGG